GACAGAGGAUGCGAACGUUGCUCGGAAUUACUGGGCGUAAAGCGCGCGCAGGCGGCCACGUAAGUCGGGUGUGAAAGCCCAGGGCUCAACCCUGGAAGCGCACUCGAUACUGCGCGGCUGGGGUCCUGAAGAGGGAGGGCGGAAUUCCCGGUGUAGAGGUGAAAUUCGUAGAUAUCGGGAGGAACACCAGUGGCGAAAGCGGCCCUCUGGGCAGGUACCGACGCUGAGGCGCGAAAGCGUGGGGAGCAAACAGG
rnacentral:rRNA from 1 species